UUUUAGCCCCGAUGGGAACGACAUCCUUUUGUGGCGGGGUUCGCCACAAAAGAUAUAGUGGACAGCGGGAUUAGCU
rnacentral:sRNA from 1 species